UGCCAGACUCCUACGGGAGGCAGCAGUGGGGGAUAUUGCACAAUGGGGGAAACCCUGAUGCAGCGACGCCGCGUGUGGGAAGACGGUCCUCUGGAUUGUAAACCACUGUCCCCAGGGACGAAGAUGACGGUACUUGGGGAGGAAGCUCCGGCUAACUACGUGCCAGCAGCCGCGGUAAUACGUAGGGAGCGAGCGUUGUCCGGAUUUACUGGGUGUAAAGGGAGCGCAGGCGGCACGGCAAGCCUGAUGUGAAAGCCCGCGGCCCAACCGCGGGACUGCAUUGGGAACUACCGGGCUGGAGUGCCGGAGAGGUAGGCGGAAUUCCUAGUGUAGCGGUGAAAUGCGUAGAUAUUAGGAGGAACACCAGUGGCGAAGGCGGCCUACUGGACGGUGACUGACGCUGAGGCUCGAAAGCGUGGGGAGCAAACAGGAUUAGAUACCCGCGUAUC
rnacentral:rRNA from 1 species